CGGGAUGUAGCACAGCUUGGUAGUGUGCACGUCUGGGGGGCGUGAGGUCGCAGGUUCAAAUCCUGUCAUCCCGA
rnacentral:tRNA from 1 species